rnacentral:rRNA from 1 species
CCUACGGGCGGCAGCAGUGGGGAAUAUUGCGCAAUGGGCGAAAGCCUGACGCAGCGACGCCGCGUGAGGGAUGAAGGUCUUCGGAUCGUAAACCUCUGUCAGCAGGGAAGAACGGUCACUGUGUUAAUCAGCAGUGAAUUGACGGUACCUGCAAAGGAAGCACCGGCUAACUCCGUGCCAGCAGCCGCGGUAAUACGGAGGGUGCGAGCGUUAAUCGGAAUUACUGGGCGUAAAGCGCUCGUAGGCGGUAUGUCAAGUCAAGGGUGAAAUCCCCGCGCUCAACGUGGGAACUGCCUUUGAUACUGGCAAACUGGAGUGUGUGAGAGGAUAGUGGAAUUCCAGGUGUAGGAGUGAAAUGCGUAGAUAUCUGGAGGAAUAUCAGUGGCGAAGGCGACUAUCUGGCACAUAACUGACGCUCAGGUGCGAAAGCGUGGGUAGCAAACAGGAUUAGAUACCCGUGUAGUC